ACACAUGCAAGUCGAGGGGCAGCGGGAUUGAAGCUUGCUUCAAUUGCCGGCGACCGGCGCACGGGUGAGUAACGCGUAUCCAACCUUCCGUACACUCAGGGAUAGCCUUUCGAAAGAAAGAUUAAUACCUGAUGGUAUGAUGAGAUUGCAUGAUAGCAUCAUUAAAGAUUUAUCGGUGUACGAUGGGGAUGCGUUCCAUUAGGUAGUAGGCGGGGUAACGGCCCACCUAGCCAACGAUGGAUAGGGGUUCUGAGAGGAAGGUCCCCCACAUUGGAACUGAGACACGGUCCAAACUCCUACGGGAGGCAGCAGUGAGGAAUAUUGGUCAAUGGACGAGAGUCUGAACCAGCCAAGUAGCGUGAAGGAUGAAGGUCUUACGGAUUGUAAACUUCUUUUAUAAGGGAAUAAAACCUCCCACGUGUGGGAGCUUGUAUGUACCUUAUGAAUAAGCAUCGGCUAACUCCGUGCCAGCAGCCGCGGUAAUACGGAGGAUGCGAGCGUUAUCCGGAUUUAUUGGGUUUAAAGGGA
rnacentral:rRNA from 1 species